AGAUUGAACGCUAGCGGGAUGCUUUACACAUGCAAGUCGAACGGCAGCGCGGACUUCGGUCUGGCGGCGAGUGGCGAACGGGUGAGUAAUAUAUCGGAACGUGCCCAGUAGCGGGGGAUAACUACGCGAAAGCGUGGCUAAUACCGCAUACGCCCUACGGGGGAAAGGGGGGGAUUCUUCGGAACCUCUCACUAUUGGAGCGGCCGAUAUCAGAUUAGCUAGUUGGUGAGGUAAAGGCUCACCAAGGCGACGAUCUGUAGCUGGUUUGAGAGGACGACCAGCCACACUGGGACUGAGACACGGCCCAGACUCCGUACGGGAGGCAGCAGGUGGGAAUUUGGACAAGUGGGGGAAACCCUGGACUCCGAGCCAGUCCCGCGUGUGCGAUGGUAAGGCCGUUUCGGGUUA
rnacentral:rRNA from 1 species